AUCCUUUUAGAAAAAUUGGGGCAGGGAAUACAUUGUGUGUCUGUGAAAAAGUUUCCUUUGUUCUUUCGGGCAUUUUCUAUUUUGAGUAAUGGAGUAGGAGUACGCAAAGGCUGCAGUUAGUUCACUUGAAUAAAAGACACUGCCUCUGAGUCAGAGCUGCCAGGUCGGCAGCUUCACUCCCAAGGGUGCCGCGAGCCCAGGCGGCGAGGACCCGGUACCCCUGGCGCAGCGAGGUGGGAUGCUGUGCGGACAGCAGCGCUAAGUGCCCCCCACCCCCGGCGCGGGGUGCACUCGCUUCUGGCCGCGGGCCGAGCGGCGGCGGCGGCGGCGGCGGAGGGGAUGAGCCCGGGACGCGCGAGGCGCCUGCCUCAAGCUACCGCCCGGAGAGGGACGCCGAGUAGGGCUCAUCGCAGGACCGCGCGGACCCCUGCCCCCCGUGGCACGCGGCUGCGGAGCCUUGAAGCCGCGUCUGUGAUCAGGAUGCACUGGGCGCCUCGCAGCUGGUGAGGAUGCCCUGCUGCGCGGCCCUGCGCCCCCAGCCCCAGUCCCAGGUGGGCAAGACUGAGUGGGCCCGGCUUCGGCCCCUCGUGCCGGUGGACGAAACGU
rnacentral:sRNA from 1 species